CUUGCAUAAUAUUAGAUUCUAAACUCACUUCAACGGUGACUGCAUUGGGGGAGAGAGUCCCUAUAGGUACUACUCUACUCAAUUCUUCUAAAAUCAGAUACUGUGUUUUUUGAUGGAUAAAAGAAGUGAAACUGAAACUUCUUCUGAGGUCUUGGAAUGGAGCAUCACACCAUGUCACCAUGGUGAAUAAUGUUAGAUUCUAAACUCACUUCAAAGGUGACUGCAUUGGGGGAGAGUCCCUAGAGGUUCUCCGUUAAUCACACAGCUUGGCCUCCAUCUCCAUGUGCUUCUUCUCGAUAUCGUCCAGACAACCCGCAGAAGGGGCUGCUCCUACUCCGAAAAAGAGCCAUGUGCCAUCUGCGAAGCAGAGGAAGGAAGGAAGCCGCCAUCGGGCUCGGCCCAGGCGAUGGCAUGGGGAGGCAGCAAGAAAGCCCACUGCAGCAACGGUUUUCAACGGCCCGGCCCAUGUAUAGCGCCACCUGGUUAAUUAUUUUUUUGUUUGGAUAUAAAUGGGUUCCUUUGGUAUUGCUCCUCCACUCCCACCUCAAUGUGAAAGUGAUUCUGUUAAAAAUGGCAUCUGACGAUGACUCCAACCAAAACCAUAUAGAUGCAACGUUGCUAUUUUAGUAAGUUGUUUUAUUCAAUGUUGAGGAGGAAAGCCCAACUUGCUUAUUGUAAAAUCGACAUGUCAUUUUUUUUGCUUUAUUACAUGUAAACAACUUCACUGUCCAAA